AUGUAUAUUUUGACAAGAUAUUUCAAGUGCAUGCAUGUGGCCAUAGGAGGUCAGAUUAACCUGGUUCAGUCACAGGUUGGCAAAUCAAUGGAUGGAGCUGGAGCACCGAUGCCAUAUUGGCUGGAACUGUGGAAUGAAUGGGAGAUCCAAGUAGUUGUUAUCGCCAGCUUCAGUCUGCAGGUUAUCCUCUUCUUUUUUGCUGGGAUCCGCCCCUACACCGUCUCUUCCGUUCUCAAGGUCCUCCUCUGGCUGGUGUAUCUGCUAGCCGAUGUCGUUGCGAUAUAUGCCCUGGGCCACAUGUCUUCGUCCUUGUCGAAGAAAUCAUCCAGUGAGCACCAGCUGGUUGCGUUCUGGGCAUCGUUCCUCCUGCUGCACCUCGCUGGCCAGGACACCAUCACCGCGUACGCUCUGGAGGACAAUGAACUCUGGCUGCGCCACCUGCUGAAUAUGUUUCUGCAGGUCGCUGGCACCGUGUAUGUGCUCUACAAGUACAUCAUUGCGGGUGGGGCGACCUUUAUCCGUCCAGCUAUGCUGGUUCUGGUUGCCGGAUUCAUCAAGUACAGCGAGAGGAUAUGGGCACUGAAGCGCGCAAGCAACAGGAAUCCCCAAGUCCCAAGUAGGCCAAGAAGUUGUGGUCUGAAGUCAUUUUUUUUCCGUUUUCUUCCCAGAACUAGAAGGCAGUUUAUGAACCCUCCAGCACUGAAACCGAAAUACAAAGGAAACUGCUUCACCAAAAACAAGCAGUUUGGAGAUUAUGCAUAUAUUUUGAUGGCAGCACACAAGUUGUGCUAUAUAAUUGUCAAGCCUUUCAUCAUUGACAGGGACCAGGCAUACAUACGUUGGAAGGGGUUGGCUGACACUAGCCUCAUAAUAGGUGGUGUAAAACAAGAAUAUGAAUGGACGAGCAACGAGAGCGAAGAUGAACUGGCACAGAGGAGGAGGCAUGCAUGUGAAAAUGGAUCGACACGGAAGAAGAGGCAUAAUGUGGAGCUGAUAGAGGUGGUGGCAUCUGUUAUCAAGGCAAUUGGGUCGACCUGGACAUGUGCCAUCUUGAGAAACCGAGGAUGGAAUUGGCUGGCCAAUGCAAUUCUGUUCGCACGAUACCACCUCGUCGUUCUUAAGGAUGGAAGAUGGUUCAAUUCCGUCGGGCAAUUUAACUUCAUAUCCUUCUGCGUUCAAAGCAACAAGAAGGACCUCAAGAGCGGAAUAGCCUAUUUGUUUGGGCUCAAGGAUCUGUGGGACAGAGCUCAGUGCACCAAACAUGCCAAGCUUUCGUCUGCCAUGAAGGAGUUCGUAUGGGACUUGGUCAGAGGUGAGAAAAUUCAUAUGGUACGAAUCGAAGACGUGGCUAUCCGGAAACGGGAGUGGUCUCGCAGGCUCAGGGGCUUCGACCACAGCGAACAGCUUGAUUCGAGCCUGAGUUCUACAUUUGAGAAGAGCGUUCUUAUCUGGCAUAUAGCCACAUCCACCUUCCUCAAUGACCCUGCUGUCAAAUCGAAGCUGGACUGCAAGGACAUGGCUGAAGCAGUGAAUACUCUCUCUGAUUACAUGAUGUACCUCCUCAUUGAGCACCCUGACAGUCUGCCCACCACAGUAAAAACUCAUAAGAUGUUUGACUAUAUCUGCGCCUCUUACGCUGAUCGUUUUCCAGAACCGAAAUCAUAUACGGUUGAUGGGCUUCACCAGUCAAUUCUGGAUUACAAUGAAAGACCUUAUCACAGCGAUGCUGUGCUGGUGGAAGCAAGUAGCCUUGCUCAGAAAAUGAUCGGCCUGAAGUUGGGGCUCACACAUAGGAUGGUAAUAAUUGGAACAGUGUGGACGGAGAUGUUGUGCUACGCAGCAACCAAUGCAUCUGAGGCAUUCCACACCAGGCAGCUGAGCAAUGGUGGCGAGUUUCUGUCCCACUUCCUGCUUCUCACUAAACAUUGUGGUUCUAUAUCUCCAAUAGAAAUGCCUUCCAAAGCAGCUGAUGAAACUGUGGAGGCAAGUGCUGGCGACAUCGAGGCGCCGGCGCACCGGUCCAAUAAUUCCGCCGGUCUAGUCCUAGCCACCCGAUCAGUCUCUAAAUACCCGUUGGAUCUGACCCAAGCGUUCUUCAACCUCGCGACGCGAGAUAGAAAAAAGCACAGGGAAAAAGAAAAGAAGGCAGCGCCUCCGCUCGCGCUUGCCCGCCAUCGUCGACGCUGCUCACCAGCGUCCCUGCCGCUUGCUCCCAGCAUGGCCCGCCCCCGGUUGCAGCGCCCCCUGUUCGCCCAGGCUCUCGUCGGUUCGCCGCAUGCAGCUCCUGCCGGCGAAGGUCGCAGCUCCGGCGAACAGCAGUGCUCCAUCCAGCUUGUAGCAGCGCUGUUCGUUCGUCGAGGUUGCAUCCCCGAUGAAGCUGUCCACUUCCUCGGCGACCGGUUCCAGCAAAAAAUAAUGACGGUGCCAGCAAAACGAGUCGACAGUCAUUUGGUUCCAGCAAAAUGUCAGUGCGGUUGUAGCUUUUCCGUCGACCGGUUCCAGCAAAGUGACACGCCGGUUGCAGCAUCGGUGUUGGUUCCAGCAAAAUAUCAGUGCGGUUGUAGCUUUUCCGGCGACCGAAAGGAUGGCCUGGUGAGGCCGGCGGAUGUUUCUUUACCUUCGUUCCGUCUGCCCGAUUACCUUGGUUGGAGCUGUGCCCCCACCGUGGGGGUGCAGUCGCUAAUCAUCGUUGGUGGUCUUUGUUCUCUAAUGGAAUGGGCGGUGUGGACAACACACACUGAUUUGAUCCAACAGAAAUUUGAUCAGCAGCCGCCGGCGAAGUGGUCUCUAUUUUGGCUGGAACUGUGGAAUGAGUGGGAGAUCCAAGUUGUUGUCGUCACUAUCCUCUUCUUCUUCGCAGGGAUCCGCCGCUACAGUAUCUCUUCUGUUGUCAAGGUCCUCCUCUGGUUGGUGUAUCUGCUUGCCGAUCUCGUUGCGAUGUACGCCCUGGGGCACAUGUCCUCGUCCUUGUCGAAGAAAUCAUCUAGUGAGCACCAGCUGGUGGCGUUUUACCAGGAGCACCAUGGCCUCCUCUCCCUCCACCGCCGCCGCUACGAGCUCUGCCACCUCCCCCGGCGACCUCUCCUCCUCCUCGACGGCGCCUGCUGCGGCCUCCUCCACUGCUUCCUCUCUGCCGUUCGUCUUCGGCACUUCCCCCUCUCUCGUCAACGACACCUCCCCCGCUGCAGGUGGAUAUUCACCACCCAGUUCCUCCAUGGCCUCGACAAGCGGCUCGACACGAUCCGGGUGGUCCUUGGCGAUCAGGACUUGCCCUACGACACCGUCCUCUCCCGGGUCGUCCUGGCCGAGGAAUCCCAGGAGCAUCGCGCGGCUGAAGGAAGCGCCUCCGCGUUCGCCUGCAGAGUGGCGGCGCCCCGGGUGCCAGCUCCAGCACGGGUGGCCGUGCCCCGCCGGAUCGUGCGGAUCGCGCCCCUGCUGGCGCCCCGGUCGCUCCUCCUCCGUCGCCCCCGCACCCUGGCCGUGGCCGUGGUGACCGCAAUGGUGGUGACCGCGGUGGCUGUGGCCGUGGUCGUGGCCGCGGUCGUGGGCGUGGCGACAACAAUGGAUGCGGCCACGCCGCUCCUCUCCUGGCGUCGCCCUUCAUUGGCUACUUCGCGCCCUACGGGAUGGCGCUCCCCUCCCCGCGCUCCGGUUGGGUCCCGCCCAAUGCGGCCGACGUGCUUGGCCCGUGCCCCGGAUCGCAUGCGCAUGCGUACCCGCUCCUGCCCGCCUCGCCGGCGCACCCCGCGCCGUUCUACUAGCAUCCUCCUUCCUCCUGGGAACACGCGGCCAUGCUCAACGCCGCCUACAGCAAUGGUGGCUUCCCGUCCGCUCCAGCCCCCGAGUGGUACUUCGACAGUGGCUCUUCGCACCCGGAGGGUUCUCAUGAUCUCCCUUAGCAACGGUGAUCUUGACCCCUUCUACGAUCUGCCGCCCCCGCCUACCUCGUACUGGCCCCACCCCCUACCAUCCCCACCAACCCACCAAUUGGGCGCCCCCACACCCGCAUGCAGCCAACCGUAUCCCACCAACACUCCCCGCACCGCGGAGCGAACCCCCUCGUCCGGACCCACCUCACCAGUUGGGCCCCUGUCCCCACCAACCACCCACGCCGAAUCCACCUCGCCCUCGACGCCUGUCGGCCCUGACUCACCUGUCGCCCAGUCUUCCGCGUCUGUCGCCUGCCCCACCGAAUCCACCUUGGGAUCCGAGGCAUGCACACCCACUCCCCCUCCGCCACGUCUCCCUCGCCAUGCACAGCCAGCCGAACCCCCACGUAAUUCACACAAAAUUACCACUCAAGCCAAACGUGGCUAUUGCAUGCCUCGCCGCCUUUUUCUUGCUGAUGCCACAUCCACAUCUCUCUCCCCCAUCCCUCCCGCAAUUGAUCUGUCCAACUUCUAUGCCCAAGCGUCUAUCGACGUCGAUCUACCCGAGGCUGAGCGUCUAUGGAAAUCGAUCUACCCGAGGCCGAUGGUUCUAGCACGCCUAGAGCUGCUUCCAUCUAGCGAUGCACAACAGCGGCGUGAGCCUCCCCGCGCGGCUGCUGUUCAUCGACGACGGUUAGUCUCUGUCCCUCCCUCCCUCUAUCCCCCGCUCAUCCCCAUGCCCCCACGGGGCGGCGACCUAGGGUUAGGAGCAGGAGCUCGCCGCCGCCGCCCCAUCGUGCCGCUGCUGCUGCUUCUUGCGGCACGCCCUUGCGUCUGGGAGGCGAUCGAGCUCGUCAAAGGAGCCCCUCCUCUUCCCCUUCUGCAUCCGAUUUGA
rnacentral:rRNA from 1 species